rnacentral:rRNA from 1 species
CGCCAGACUCCUACGGGAGGCAGCAGUGGGGAAUAUUGCACAAUGGGGGAAACCCUGAUGCAGCGACGCCGCGUGAGCGAUGAAGUAUUUCGGUAUGUAAAGCUCUAUCAGCAGGGAAGAAGAUGACGGUACCUGACUAAGAAGCCCCGGCUAACUACGUGCCAGCAGCCGCGGUAAUACGUAGGGGGCAAGCGUUAUCCGGAUUUACUGGGUGUAAAGGGAGCGUAGACGGCGGCGCAAGCCAGAUGUGAAAACCCGGGGCUCAACUCCGGGACUGCAUUUGGAACUGUGUGGCUGGAGUGUCGGAGAGGCAGGCGGAAUUCCUAGUGUAGCGGUGAAAUGCGUAGAUAUUAGGAGGAACACCAGUGGCGAAGGCGGCCUGCUGGACGAUGACUGACGUUGAGGCUCGAAAGCGUGGGGAGCAAACAGGAUUAGAUACCCUGGUAA